rnacentral:lncRNA from 1 species
GUCACCGACCUAAAGCUGGCUACCGGGGUCAUAUAGAAAGCAAAAAGGGGAGGAAUAAGUUAAAAGUCAUCUGAUUGAGCCUUUAUAACCCGAGUGAAUAAGCCUGCAAGUGUUUAAAACCUGAUUUCCUAAGGCCAAUUGGUUUGGGAGUCACCGACCUAAAGCUCGUUACAAGGGUUAUAUAGAAAGCAAAUGAGAAGAUGACAAAAAAAAAAUCAUCAAAGAAUAAGAGAGCAAAAACACAACAUAACACGAAGAAAGCCCUUGGACAUUUGGUUUAUAAAACUACACUUUUGAUGCAAGGCAAGUAACUUAAUUUAGUCUUAGGGGUUGAAGCAAUCAAAAUGGAGAACUUCUACUUGUUGACAUGUGACUUUGUAAUAGUGAAAUCUUUCCAAGCUAAAAAGGGCAAGGAAACUCUUAACUUUAGAACACACUUCAGGAUAAUUAAGUGAAAAGACUAAGUUUGGGGGGUGUGUAUCUCUCGAGCGAAGAAAGGAUAUAUUUGAUCACUACGGGUUGGGAUUCGCCCAAUCAUGAGCCUGAUAUGCUGGCAUGAGUUCACACACACACGUUGAGUUUUGCAUCUAACAGGUAAUGGUUGAUUUUAUUCCUGUGUUAAUUACUGAAUUCCAAUCCUGAAACACGGCAUAUUGUCAAGCCAUAUUUUGUUUAGAGUUAAGUCACUAUCAUGUUUGAGGACAAACGAGAGUUCAAGUUUGGAGUGUUUGAUAAGUGCAUUUUUACACUCUUAUUUGACCACAAAACAUGAUUAAUUGUUAAUAAAUGUGUGUGAAUAUGACUUAGUUUUAUAAAAUUUUGUUUUGUAGGAUUUCAUUGAUGAAUAUGACAUAACUUAAGAGAAAAGACACAAAAAAGGGGCCAAAAUGGAAGAAAACAAAAGUUUAGGGAUCAAGUUGCACAAACCCAAAAGAUGACCGAAAGGAGAAUCGAGAAAUUGAACGAGCCAAGUACCAAUUGGGAGCAAUAAUGGAGUGAUGGAGCAAGAAGAAUGAAGAAAAGAGGGCAAAAUGGAAGAAGAACGAGAUUGAGGACCAAAACACAUCAAUUGAAAGGUUGGCUCUACCAUGGGGUCGCAUGGUAGAAAAGGGCUUGCGGUCGCACAAGAGCACACAGGAAAUUUAAAAGCCAAAACUUGGAAACCAUGCAGUUGCAUGGUUAUGACUGAAGCGCGAUUUUUCGAGUUUACUUAUACGAACAAAACUCUUAUGGAAACCUAAUUGUGACACGAUAUAAAAACCCAAAACCAUCCAUAACAAAGGGGGAGCCACAUUAUACACUAUUUUUGAGGAUUUGAAGAGCAAGAACACGGCAGAAACGAAGGGAUUCAUUCCAAGAUUCAAGAUUUCAACUCAAGAAUUAAUUGGGUGAUGUUCUUCCGUGAUUUUAAUUGUUGUUCUUUUCUUCCAUUCAUGUGUAGUUAAAUUUUCAUGUGUUAGGAGAUCGAUUAACCAUGUAAUGUAAUCUUUGGAUUUCUAGCUUUACAUAAUUGACAUUUGAACACAUUAUUGAAU